rnacentral:rRNA from 1 species
GUAAGGGAUAUUGCGACAAUGGGCGAAAGCCUGACGCAGCAACGCCGCGUGCGGGAUGACGGCCUUCGGGUUGUAAACCGCUUUUCGAGGUGAAGAGGAAGGACGGUAGCCUCGGAAGAAGUCUCGGCUAACUACGUGCCAGCAGCCGCGGUAAAACGUAGGAGGCGAGCGUUAUCCGGAUUUACUGGGUGUAAAGCGCGAGCAGGCGGCCUUGUAAGUUGUGCGUGAAAGCGCCCAGGCUCAACCGGGCGAGGACGUGCAAAACUGCGAGGCUAGAGGUAGGUAGAGGCAGAUGGAAUUCCGGGUGUAGUGGUGAAAUGCGUAGAGAUCCGGAGGAACACCAGUGGCGAAGGCGGUCUGCUGGGCCUGACCUGACGCUCAGACGCGAAAGCAUGGGGAGCGAACGGGAUUAGAUACCCUUGUAGUCC